AACGAACGCUGGCGGCAGGCUUAGCACAUGCAAGUCGAGCGCCCCGCAAGGGGCGCGGCAGACGGGAGAGUAACGCGUGGGAAUCUACCCAUCUCUACGGAAUAACGCAUGUAAACGUGUGCUAAUACCGUAUACGUCCUUCGGGAGAAAGAUUUAUCGGAGCUGGAUGAGCCCGCGUUGAAUUAGCUAGUUGGUGGGGUAAAGGCCUACCAAGGCGACGAUCCAUAGCUGGUCUGAGAGGAUGAUCAGCCACACUGGGACUGAGACACGGCCCAGACUCCUACGGGAGGCAGCAGUGGAGAAUAUUGGACAAUGGGCGCAAGCCUGAUCCAGCCAUGCCGCGUGAGUGAUGAAGGCCCUAGGGUUGUAAAGCUCUUUCACCGGUGAAGAUAAUGACGGUAACCGGAGAAGAAGCCCCGGCUAACUUCGUGCCAGCCGCCGCGGUAACAC
rnacentral:rRNA from 1 species